AGAGUUUGAUCAUGGCUCAGGACGAACGCUGGCGGCGUGCUUAACACAUGCAAGUCGAACGGAAAGGCCCUUUCGGGGGUACUCGAGUGGCGAACGGGUGAGUAACACGUGGGUGAUCUGCCCCGCACUUUGGGAUAAGCCUGGGAAACUGGGUCUAAUACCGAAUACACCUUGCUGGUUGCAUGACCUGGUGGGGGAAAGCUUUUGCGGUGUGGGAUGGGCCCGCGGCCUAUCAGCUUGUUGGUGGGGUGAUGGCCUACCAAGGCGACGACGGGUAGCCGGCCUGAGAGGGUGUCCGGCCACACUGGGACUGAGAUACGGCCCAGACUCCUACGGGAGGCAGCAGUGGGGAAUAUUGCACAAUGGGCGCAAGCCUGAUGCAGCGACGCCGCGUGAGGGAUGACGGCCUUCGGGUUGUAAACCUCUUUCAGUACCGACGAAGCGCGAGUGACGGUAGGUACAGAAGAAGCACCGGCCAACUACGUGCCAGCAGCGGCGGUAAUAC
rnacentral:rRNA from 1 species